ensembl:lncRNA
AGUUCUCUGCCACAAGACCUGAAACAGUUAAAAAUACUCGGUGCUUGGUUUUCAUCCCCCUUACGUUUCUCUGUCUUACCCAAAUGCAACUGCAACCAUCACCCCCCUAAUUUACGGAGGGUAAGUGCUACCUAGAAUUAGGAUCAGCGUCUGAUUGCAUAACGCCCCAAUCAGUGUAAUUACUUGGUAGAGCAAAGAUUAAUGGGAGUGGAAGUAGAGAUUUGCUGCAAAAGUGAUGUUUGGGGUGCCCCAGCUCGCUGGCUGUCCCUGGGCAGGGCUGUGGUGUGCCCCAGGUUCCUGCAAGCUCGGCAGGCGCAGGGAUGCGCGUGGGUGCGGUGGCACCAGGGAGGGCACCCGGGGUUCGUCUCGUGCUCAGCACACAACUUCGGCAUCCAGCCCCCUCUGCGAGCCUGCCGUCUGGGUAAGGCGAGGCACUGAAGUGGUUGCAUCUGUUCUUGGGGUAGAACUGAAGGCAGUUUGUGCCUCUGCUGCCAUGGCAUUAGAGUGGCAAGCACUGUAGUCAGUUAUCUAAGCUCCUCAAGUAUUUGCCUAGAAUGAGUACGGAUAGAAGUGUCUGCGGGUAGCUGGACUGCUGCCACCUCGCACAAAGUGUGCUUGCUUGCCUCGCUGGCUGUGUCGUGGUUUAUGAGGCCGGCCGACGGGGCGCCGCCGUGGGCUGCUGCGCCUGCGGUGAGCGGCAGCAGCGGGUCUUGCUCGUGGGGAUGUGUUUGUAGAGCUGUGGAGAUCCCGGGCUCUCCCGAGGACGGGAGUUUCGGAUGGGGCUGUCCAUGCAGGCAGUGCACAAACAAACUUUGCAGCCGUGUGAUCCCUUUUUGCUUUCGAUCAUGCUUCCCAGAUGAAGGAGGUCUCGGCUGCGAAGCGGGCCAUUUGUCCGGCACCGCUGCAUUGAUCCCUGCCCCGCAGUUACGCGUGAGGAAUUUCUUUGCUUUUGAGAAUUGACUGAACUGAACUGGGCCACAUUUGUGAAUCCCCUUCUGCCAGAGAGCAAGUGCCUGAAGUGCUUUUUGUCUUCGCUUCUGUCGAUUCGUAAGGAAAGGUCAUCAUUAUUUAAGGUCUCUUGAUGCUCACGAAGCUCCUGAGAGCGCCUGCUGGGUGUCAGCCUGGAGCAGGCAGCGCUCAGAUGUCCAGGCUGUUCCCUGCGUUUGUAGGAUGGGGAGUGCACGAACCCACCAAGAGGGAGCACCCUGCCGGCGGAGCUGCCAUGGGGUGCGCCAGCCUUUGGCUUGGACAUACUUAGCCUCAAUGAGUCCCAGACAUGAGCAAAGACUCGUGUUUGAGCUCAAACAUUUAGACCUGGUCAACUUGCUCUUCCUUUCCUAUACUUUUUAAUGAUUGUGGAGCUGUAUCUGUUGGCUUACCUGGUGACUUCUGGUGGAACAAGCGUUAUUCCUGUGUUUUUCUCAUAUUCAUUUGAAAGUGAGAGGUGACAACAACAUGAGAGAGUUCAUUUUCACAGUAUCUUUUGCUUUUGAGGUCAUCCAGUUAGAGUGCCAGCGGAGGUCGGCUGCAUGGCUCAACGCGCCUCGUCUCCUACGUCCCGCACCGAGCCCUGCCGUGUGCGGGCAUCAGGCAGGUGCUGCCCAGCUCCCGGGUGGGCAUCAAACCAUAAGCAGCAUCAAAGAUGGGCCUUAUUAAAAUAAGGGUUCUUCUCUAAAUCGUCUGGUAAUAAGAGUGGAAACUUUCAGCAGGUAAGUAGCUGAAUUUCUGCAGAACCUGGAGCUGGCGAGCAGUUCUGUGCCGGCUCUCCCAGACCGUGCCUUCCCAUCAGCUCCUCCCUUGCAAAGAUGCCGAGCAGUAAGUAGCUUCAAUUUUUAUUUCAUUUCUGAAGUGCGCUUUCCAGAUUUUAUUGGAAAAUAACAAAUUUGCCCCUUCCUUUCAUUACCAGAUAAGCAGUCUGAGUAACUCAGCUGGGUCUCUUUUGCAGUAAUGAAACCUCCCAUUUUUCUUGUUUUUUUUUCUUCCUAUUUCAAUAUUGUCGUCUUUGUUUUUUGAGGCAGUAACUUUUACGGAACAACAAACAGAACCACAGUGACACAUUAAAAUGGAAACGGGUGAACACUAUGAUCUGUGAAGCAGAAACAAGCUGUUUUUAUCUUUUAGCAUACAAACAAAUGUUUCAGGCAAUUGGUCACUAACCUGAGUUUUAGUCUUACUUUAAGCUUUGCGAAAACAUGUAGAAUUCAUUCAUCUGAUCAAAAUGGUUAUAGUGGCUAUCUCUAUGCUUUGUUAGAAUUGGUGAGCUGGAUCCAGACAGAAAAGCAAGAGAUUUUUUUCUGUGGAGGCAUGUACGUGGAAGUGAAAUCUCAGUAUUUCAAGCCAGUGAAUAAUGCUAAAGAACUUGAUGAUAGCAGAAAAAAUGAGGAGUAUUGUCAUCUCUCUUGUGAAGCCAAACCAAUAACCUGUGUGUCACCCCGUUCAGUUCCCAAAUGAGCAAUAUCCCUUCAUCUAUAAUCAGCCUUUAAAAAUCAUUCCCAGCUAAUUUCGUGCUAUGACCCUGUUGUGAACUACUUGUGAGUGAGGCCCAGGGAUGGCUAGCGGCUCUGCCUUUUCUGCCAGUGACAUCUACAUGGAAGACUUGCCCAGAGCCAACCGCGGAGCCACAGACGGCUGCGUGCAGCCACCCCUGGGGACGUGCACAUCUGCAGCUGUGCCUCAAGUGGAGGGAGCAGCACGUGGAAAAGUCUACGGGCAGCGCCGGCACAAUUUGUCUGAACAGGAGUGUGCGGAGCCUGCACAGGCAAGCCUGAAUUUGUGCAGGAGAUGGAGCAUACACCAGAGGUGUUAGAUGGGUUUAGCCCAAAGCUGUGAAGAUCCUCUCCUUAAUUACAGAGCAGUGAAGGCAGGAGCAAUGAAGAUGUGCUUCUGCCCUUGGAAGGUGUUUCACAGGAGGACAGCUCCUGCGGAAGAGCUCUUUCAUGUGGCAGGCUGAGCCAGAUGGCUUAGCAGCACGGGAUAUUCAUCACUGGGAUGAAAUACCAUGCCCAAGCUAUGGAUUUCUCUGUUUUCUAAGCAGGGCUGUAUGCUCCUCUGGGACACACGCAUGUGGCCCAACUUCAAGUCAGCGGGUUAAACGGAGACGAGUGACGUUCUGCAGCUGGUGCUGCACAAGGGCCAGGAAGUUGUGUUGACCAUGCAAUGGUCUACCCUUGGAAAUCUGGCACGUACUGCUUUUUCAGGGUAAAUAGCCUGGUCUCUCUCCAUGUUUUGGCUCCAGCCUGGAUAGCCUGCCGUCGAGAGACUCAGCACUCCCUCACUGAGAGAAAAAGCCUAAAACCACUACCUGGUGAAGAUUGCCAUAACAGUAGUGUUACAACUGUUUUGACAGUGAUUGCAGGGAGGUGAUGAUAUUUGAGAACAUGAGUCAAAUUUCCCAACACUGUGAAUAUAUUUUUCCAUGGAACUUUAUCUGGCUUGAUAAUGGGUGAUUAUUUUCUUAGCAGGUAUCUUUGCUUCAGGAAGAAAUUGGUUUUGUAAAACUCAUCUACUGAAUAUAUCUCAUUCCCAAAGCAUAGCAGUAAGAGUGCUUUGAAGCAAAGGUAGAAAAUAACUCUGUGAGCAGAUCUGGACGUGCACUUAGAGAGGUCUGAGGAAAAAAAAGCCAGCUCAGGUGUACUGCUGGAUGAAUCCAUUUCUAUCUCGUGUAAUUAUUUUGGUGUAAUUGUAGUAAACAAAUUUGGAAAAAUAUACUGCUGGCCCUGUAGAAAGUGGCUGCUAGGAGGUGGAUUUGUGACUUGCUCCCCUCCUGUCCUGGCCCUGCUGCAAGCAGCAGCGGGUGCAUGGCGUGGGGCUCCUGCUGGGCUCCCCCUGUAACCCUGUGCAGUUACCUUGGGUUUUUGUGCAGCCCACCAAACCAUGCCUGGUCGUUUUCUUUUGUCAUCAGCUCGGAGGAAAGCGUUUAGCGUUUUAAUAUCUCAUUAAAUUCUUAAACCCUAACAAAAUUAAUGCCAGUGAACACUGGAAGUAAUGAAACUGCCAGAAGAGACGUGGAGUUAUUUAAAAAAGCAGCAGUAAUAGAUUAGAUUUAGCCGUCCUUCCAUAAAAUAAAAAGCAAUGAAUUACAGCA